CCUGUGCUCGAGUGAGUCAUGGCUAAGGAACUAGGCAAAUUAAACCUGUAACUUCGGGAAAAGGGUUGCCUCUCUUUAGCAAUAAAGAAGGUCGCAGAGAAAUGGCCCAGGCGACUGUUUAACAAAAACACAUGGCUAUGCGAAAUCGUAAGAUGAAGUAUAUGGCCUGACACCUGCCCGGUGCUGGAAGGUUAAGGGGGGAAGUUAGUCGCAAGGCGAAGCUUUGAACUGAAGCCCCAGUAAACGGCGGCCGUAACUAUAACGGUCCUAAGGUAGCGAAAUUCCUUGUCGGGUAAGUUCCGACCUGCACGAAUGGUGUAACGAUCUGGGCACUGUCUCAGCCAUGAGCUCGGUGAAAUUGUAGUCACGGUGAAGAUGCCGUGUACCCGUCACGGGACGGAAAGACCCCAUGCACCUUUACUAUAGCUUCGCAUUGACAUUGGGUAGAUGAUGUGUAGGAUAGGUGGGAGGCGUUGAUCCUGUGCCGCUAGGUAUAGGGGAGCCAACGGUGAAAUACCACCCUUUAUUUAUCUGAUGUCUAAUCCGCAAGACCUGCGGAGACAGCGCGUGGUGGGUAGUCUGACUGGGGUGGUCGCCUCCGAAAGUGUAUCGGAGGCUUUCAAAGGUAUGCUCAAUACGCUUGGUAACCGUAUGUGGAGUGCAAUAGCAUAAGCAUGCUUGACUGUGAGACUGACAAGUCGAGCAGGGUCGAAAGACGGAUAUAGUGAUCCGGUGGUUCUGUAUGGAAGGGCCAUCGCUCAAAGGAUAAAAGGUACGCUGGGAUAACAGGCUGAUCUCCCCCAAGAGCUCACAUCGACGGGGAGGUUUGGCACCUCGAUGUCGCUCGUCACAUCCUGGGGCUGGAGAAGGUCCCAAGGGUUAGGCUGUUCGCCUAUUAAAGUGGUACGCGAGCUGGGUUCAGAACGUCGUGAGACAGUUCGGUCCCUAUCUGUGAUGGGCGUAGGAAGUUUGAGAGGGUCUGACCUUAGUACGAGAGGACCGGGUUGGACCAACCCUGGUGUACCGGUUGUGGCGUCAGCUGCAUCGCCGGGUAGCUACGUUGGGACGAGAUAAGCGCUGAAAGCAUCUAAGCGCGAAACUCACCUCAAGAUGAGACUUCCAUUAAGGGACGUCAGAGACUAUGACGUUGAUAGGCUGCAGGUGUAAAGGCAGAAAUGUCAAAGCUGAGCAGUACUAAUUACUC
rnacentral:rRNA from 1 species